rnacentral:rRNA from 1 species
UACGUAGGGGGCUAGCGUUGUCCGGAAUCAUUGGGCGUAAAGAGCGUGUAGGCGGCCCGGUAAGUCCGCUGUGAAAGUCGGGGGCUCAACCCUCGAAUGCCGGUGGAUACUGUCGGGCUAGAGUACGGAAGAGGCGAGUGGAAUUCCUGGUGUAGCGGUGAAAUGCGCAGAUAUCAGGAGGAACACCCAUUGCGAAGGCAGCUCGCUGGGACGUUACUGACGCUGAGACGCGAAAGCGUGGGGAGCAAACAGG